rnacentral:tRNA from 1 species
GCGCUUGUGGUGUAAUGGUUAGCAUGGAUGCUUUCCAAGCAUUCGACGGGGGUUCAGCUCACCCAAACGCA